GCUCCGUGUCACCGGAGCCGGAGUGCUCAGGCCCAUCCCGGCUGGGGGGCGGGCGGCCCGGACGAUGGCGCCACGUGGUUCAUGUAUGUGCUGAGCUGGCUGUCGCUCUUCAGCCAGGUGGCCUUCAUCACGCUGGCCAUUGCAGCCGGACUCUAUUACCUGGCAGAAUUGCUAGAAGAAUACACGGUGGCCACCAGCAGGAUCAUAGAAUAUAGGGUCUGGUUCUCCGCAGCUGUGCUGAUUGGCCUCUGUGUUUUUGAGCGUUUCGCCACCUACAUGAUCGGCAUAGGCCUCUUCCUGGUCUACCUGGUCUACUUUGGCCUCCUCCAGACCUUCCCUUUCAUCAUGCUCACCUCGCCUAACUUCAUCCUGUCCUGUGGGCUACUGGUGGUGAAUCAUUACCUAGCGUUUCAGUUUUUUGCAGAGGAAUAUUAUCCUUUCUCAGAGGUCCUGGCCUGUUUCACUUUCUGUCUGUGGAUAAUCCCGUUUGCGUUCUUUGUGUCACCGUCGGCUGGGGAGAACGUCCUGCCUGCCACCAUGCAGCCUGGAGAUGAUGUGGUCUCCAAUCACUUCGCCAAAGGCAAGCGGGGCAAACGCUUAGGGAUCCUGGUUGUCUUCUCCUUCAUCAAAGGGGCCAUUCUACCCAGUCGGCAGAAGAUAUACUGACCUUCUGCGGAGGGGUUACCGGGGCAAGAUCAGGAGAGUCAGGCCUCUGGGCCUCUGCACUAGGUGGGGGCCGGGAGCUGGAAGGCACCUUUCCCCAGCCCUGGCCCUCCUUCCCUCGACUCCCCCAGAAGCCCCCAUCCCCACCGUCCUCAGGAGGCUCAGCUUGGCUCAGAUCUGAUGCUGCCAGAGGCUGAGACCUCAGAGGGCGCCAGGGAGGAUGUGGUGCCUGCUUAGCCAGGAGACCAUGGUCCACCUGGGUGUGCAAAAGCUGAGCUCCUGUGGCCCUCCCGCCCCCUCUUGUGAUGGGUCAGGAGUUCUGGCUCAGGCAGGGCAGGGGCUGUGAAGCUGGAGAGCAGACAGGGAUAAUUGCUAUGGGCAGAUGGCAGUGGGGAGGGGCCGUGGCUUAGCCUUUGCAAGAGAAAGUUUUUGCUGUUGAACUGUGAUUUCUGUCCAAGUGCUGAUUCCCGUUUGAAUAGAUUCUAGGUGACCCUGUUUGCCUUAAUACCCUGAAAAAAAAAAAAAAGAAGAAAAGAAAGAAACUGUGUCCCCUGCAGUGGAAGCAUGGAGUCCUAACCACUGGACCAGCAGGGAAUUCCCUGGUGUGCUAUUUUUUAUAAAACAUGUCCUAUAGAGAAAAUGGUGUGAGGGUAAGUACUUCAAAAUGUAAUGGUCUUUGUUUGGUGUUGGAAAUAAGCUGUACUUUUUAUUGUUUCUGCCUGUCUUUUUUUUUUUUUAAAUGAUGAAUGUAUAUUUCUUAUGUAACUGAAAAGUAAUAAUAGUUAAAAAAAAAAAAAACCAGUAAGAGAUCAUUGCUUUCGUAGGGGAGUAAUGGGUAUCUGGACUUUUUCACCCUGUCUGUGCUCUGCUUUUUUUUUUUUUUUAUUUGUGGCUGCAUUGGGUCUUCGUUGCUGCAUGGGCUUUUCUCUGGUUGCGGCCAGCAGGGGGUCUACUCUUCCUUGCGGUGUGCGGGCUUCUCGUUGCAAUGGCUUCCCUUGUGGAGCACUAGCUCUAGGCAUGCGGGCUCAGUAGUUGUGGCACUCAGGCUCAGUAGUUGUGGUUCACAAGCUCAGUAGUUGUGGUGCACGGGCUUAAUUGCUCCACAGUA